AGAGUUUGAUCCUGGCUCAGAUUGAACGCUGGCGGCAGGCCUAACACAUGCAAGUCGAGCGGCAGCGGGAAAGUAGCUUGCUACUUUUGCCGGCGAGCGGCGGACGGGUGAGUAAUGCCUGGGGAUCUGCCCAGUCGAGGGGGAUAACAGUUGGAAACGACUGCUAAUACCGCAUACGCCCUACGGGGGAAAGGAGGGGACCUUCGGGCCUUUCGCGAUUGGAUGAACCCAGGUGGGAUUAGCUAGUUGGUGGGGUAAUGGCUCACCAAGGCGACGAUCCCUAGCUGGUCUGAGAGGAUGAUCAGCCACACUGGAACUGAGACACGGUCCAGACUCCUACGGGAGGCAGCAGUGGGGAAUAUUGCACAAUGGGGGAAACCCUGAUGCAGCCAUGCCGCGUGUGUGAAGAAGGCCU
rnacentral:rRNA from 1 species